rnacentral:lncRNA from 1 species
CCGGCCAAAGCAUGAAGUGAAGAAGAACAAAGAAAGAACAAAACCUAGGUGGGAAAAUUGAAGAAAAAGUGUGAGAUUUCAAGGAAUUAAGAUAAUAAAGGUAAAAUUUUGUGAUUUUAUCUUGGGAUUUACACUACCCAUGCUUUCUUUUUCGUUUUUCAUGCUUAGAACGCAAGCUUUCAUGAUGAACCCAUGCUGGCCAAAUUUGAAAGGAGAGGUUUUGAGCAUUGAUUUUGCUAGAUUUCAAGUUAAUUAAGUGUUUUUGGUUGUUUAGUAAUGGAAAGUAUGAAAAUCUAGUAAGAAAUCACUUUGUUCUUCACAAACCCAUUAAUGGCCGAAUUUUCUAGGGAGAAUAUUGAGGCUGAAAUUGAUGAUAUUUUCUGAUAUUUUGGUGGUAUUUAAUGAUUGGUGAGGCUAGAAAUUUAAUGGGAAAUUUGGGCAUGAAAAUCUGAAUUUUUACCUAAUGUAUAGACAAGUGCGAAUUAUGGUUCGGACUGAUAAAUUGAAUUAUAUUCACAGUCAUUGAGGUAUUUUAAGUAUAAUUGGAGUGUAGAAAGUGAAAGAAAUUGAUUUGGAGUUAAAUUGGAGGUUUUAGCCAAUUACACUGAGAAUAGUGCGAAUUAGGUCGAAUAUCGUAUUUAAAUGGCUAUUCGAACAUUUUUGCAUUCCAUAUCAUGCAUUAGUAGUCUAAAUUAUUUUAAUUUCGAUUUAGCACCAAUGUAUUAAGUUUCUCGAUUUUGUACUAUGUCUAGGUGGUGAAUCCUCCGAUAAAGGCAAGAAAAUUGUACCCGAGGAUCAAUAGUCAAAGUACUCUAGAAAUUCGACUCCCGAAAUAGUGAGUAACUUUAUCAUCAUUUUAAUUAUCUAAAGUAUGUUUUAAUUCAGUUUUGGUGAAAUUUUAUGAAAAUGAGUUAAAUGGCUAAUUUUAGGUUUUGCAAACGAAAAUGUGUUUAAAUGAAAAGAUUCUAUAAAUUGUCUUGAAACGAAAUAAUGAUUUUGAAAAUAGAGUAAUUGGAGACCACUGAUUUAUUGUAAAUUUAUGAUUUGAAAUUGAAGGCUUAUGUUAUAUUGUUAUUGUGUUGGCAUGACUGGCUAGGCUGUGUUUUAUGAAUUGUAUGAAUUAUUUUAUUUUACCCUUGCAGGCUGGGUAGUAAAAUAUUAGCCCUGUUAUGCUAUCAAAAUUUUAUUGUAUGGUGGGUUUAACUUGCUACAGUAGGUGGAUUCUGUGGACCAGCCUAUUAGAGGGGCACGAAAUUCGGAUAUAUAUAUAU